UUUUCAGUCAUCUCCAUCUCCCUGCUGGUAUUCCCUAUCUGCUCAGUCUUAUGGCUACCCUUUCUUUUAAGACCUUGAAUAUACUUGUAACAACUUCUUUAAAGUUCUUUUUCUCUUAAUCCUAACAUCUAGAUUGUCUUGAGGUCUAUUUUUAUAUACUGGAGGAUUCUGAACACAGCAGUGACACGCUCUAAAUUUAUGUUUUUGAAAAAGUGCCACUCUAAUAGCCGUGUGGUAAAUGGAGUAUAAAAGUCUAUGUAAAUGAGGUAAAUGGAUAAAUAGGGAUACAAAAGUCAAAUAUUGGGCACAACUUAUGAUGAGUUACAGUUAGAUGGAAGACGACAGUGGUUUUGUCUUAGGUGGUGGCACUGGUGUGAAUGAGAGGAAUUUGGUUCUGACCACCAGGUCUUGCUGAUAGACUGGACAAGGACAGAAAGAGGAGUAAAUUAAAGGAUAAACCCCUGGUUAUUGUACUCAGUUACUAAAACGGGGUUGCCAUUUGCCUAGAUAUCAACAGGGGAGAGAAAAUAUUCGAGGACAGAAGAAAACUAAGAGUUCUGUUAGUACAUUUAAAUGUGAGGUAUCUAUUGAAUAUCCAAGUGGAGAUGUCGAAUAGGCACUUGUGUAUGAGUAUGGAGUGCAGAGUGAGGGCCUGGAUGUUAAAAAUUUGGAAGUCAAAGGUAUAUGGGUGAUAUUUAAAGCCACAGUCUUAGGAUAAUAGAUGUGAGGACUGAGCUCUGGUAUACUUGUAUUUAUAGAGGUUUGGGGAAUGAGAGGAACAUAGGAAACGAGCUUGAAGUGAGGUGG
rnacentral:lncRNA from 1 species